rnacentral:rRNA from 1 species
UACAGAGGUCUCAAGCGUUGUUCGGAUUCAUUGGGCGUAAAGGGUGCGUAGGUGGCGCCGUAAGUCAGGUGUGAAAUUUCGGAGCUUAACUCCGAAACUGCAUUUGAUACUGCGGUGCUUGAGGACUGGAGAGGAGACUGGAAUUUACGGUGUAGCAGUGAAAUGCGUAGAGAUCGUAAGGAAGACCAGUGGCGAAGGCGGGUCUCUGGACAGUUCCUGACACUGAGGCACGGAAGGCCCAGGGGAGCAAACGGG